GACGAACGCUGGCGGCGGGCUUAACACAUGCAGGUCGAACGGAAAGGCCCUGCUUUUGUGUGGUGCUCGAGUGGCGAACGGGUGAGUAACACGGGAGUAACCUGCCCUGUGCGUUGGGAUAACUUCAGGAAACUGGGGCUAAUACCUGAGAGGAGCGCCUGCUGCAGGGUGGGGGUUGGAAAGUUUAGGCGGGUGGGGAUGGACUCGCGGCUUAUCAGCUGGUUGGUGGGGUAGUGGCUUACCAAGGCUUUGACGGGUAGCCGGCAUGAGAGGGUGACCGGCCACCUUGGGACUGAGAGACGGCGCAGACUCCUAUGGGAGGCAGCAGUGGGGAAUCUUGCACAAUGGGCGGAAGCCUGAUGCAGAAACGCUGCGUGCGGGAUGACGGCCUUCGGGUUGUAAACCGCUUUCGCCUGUGACGAAGCGUGAGUGACGGUAAUGGGUAAAGAAGCACCGGCUAACUACGUG
rnacentral:rRNA from 1 species